CAGGGCGGCUGGCCUAAUGGUAAGGCGCUUGAUUUCGGCUUAGUUCUCAAGAGAUUGCAGGUUCGAUCCCUGCGUCGCUCAU
rnacentral:tRNA from 1 species